rnacentral:rRNA from 1 species
UGGGGAAUAUUGCACAAUGGGCGCAAGCCUGAUGCAGCCAUGCCGCGUGUGUGAAGAAGGCCUUCGGGUUGUAAAGCACUUUCAGCGAGGAGGAAGGGUAGUGUGUUAAUAGCACAUUGCAUUGACGUUACUCGCAGAAGAAGCACCGGCUAACUCCGUGCCAGCAGCCGCGGUAAUACGGAGGGUGCAAGAGGUAAUCGGAAUUACUGGGCGUAAAGCGCACGCAGGCGGUUUGUUAAGUCAGAUGUGAAAUCCCCGCGCUUAACGUGGGAACUGCAUUUGAAACUGGCAAGCUAGAGUCUUGUAGAGGGGGGUAGAAUUCCAGGUGUAGCGGUGAAAUGCGUAGAGAUCUGGAGGAAUACCGGUGGCGAAGGCGGCCCCCUGGACAAAGACUGACGCUCAGGUGCGAAAGCGUGGGGAGCAAACA